GGCAAAAGAGAGCUUGAUUGCAAGACAUACAGGUCGAGCAAGGAUGAAAAUCGGACUUAGUGAUCCGGUGGUUCUGCGUGGAAGGGCCAUCGCUCAACGGAUAAAAGCUACCCUGGGGAUAACAGGCUUAUCUCCCCCAAGAGUCCACAUCGACGGGGCGGUUUGGCACCUCGAUGUCGGCGCAUCACAUCCUGGGGCUGUAGUAGGUCCCAAGGGUUGGGCUGUUCGCCCAUUAAAGGGGUACGCGAGCUGGGUUCAGAACGUCGGGAGACAGUUCGGUCCCUAUCCGUCGCAGGCGUAGGAAAUUUGAGAAGACCUGUCCUUAGUACGAGAGGACCGGGAUGGACGUACCUCUGGUGUACCAGUUGUCCUGCCAAGGGCAUGGCUGGGUAGCUAUGUACGGAAUGGAUAAGCGCUGAAAGCAUCUAAGCGCGAAGCCAACUUCAAGAUAAGAUUUCCCACCGCAAGGGUAAGACCCCAGAAAGACUAUCUGGUUGAUAGGUCGAAGGUGUAAGUGCAGCAAUGUAUUUAGCUUAUCGAUACUAAUAGGUCGAGGACUUGACCAAU
rnacentral:rRNA from 1 species